CUCACCAAGCAGAAGGGGCAGGGCCGGAGCCCCCGGGGAGCAGGAGCCUCGGGGCUGCCCACCUGGACAGGUCCUAGCAGUAACCAAGUUGCUGGGUGAUUUGGGGGCUUCUCACCUAUGGGCCUGGGUUCUGUCUGUACAGUGAAGGUACAGACUACCCACAAUCCUUCCAGAUCUGAGUGGAUGGAAAACCGACUAGCAGGAUUAUUUUACUUUAGCAUGAAGUGUAAAAGUCAGCGCAACCCAUGAAAUCUGCCGUCCCCCUUCCAAGCCUCAGCUAAGCCGUUGCCACCAGAUGCCCGCGCUCUGGCCUCAUGGGACAGACAUUCAACACUCUCCAGGCGCCUGGAACUCCCCCUCCUUGCCUUUGCUAGACAACUCCCUCCACCUGGAAGGCCUUUCCCAGAGGCCUGCGGGACUCGCGUUCUGAAGCCCAGGUCUGAGAGUCCCUUCCUGCUCUGUCUGUGACAGUUCUUGGAGGAAAUGCCCAGGGAGUGCCCCUUUUUGUUUUGAUAGCUGAAGGCCACAUUUAAUAAGUGGAAGUGUGGCUACCACCACGAGGGACAGGAGGGGCUCGUCCUGUGGUCCAGCAGGAGCGCAGAGCUCAGAGGACUGUGGCUGCUGUGGCCUGGGAUGGUGGCCUUGAAGGAAAGCUGAUGGGCAGGAGGCAGGCAGCAGGCCCAAGAGAGCCAUGCAGUGUUCCCAAAGAGGGCAUGUGCUCAAGAGGGUUAGAGGCAAACAACUUUUUAAAAAUUUGAA